CCUACGGGCGGCAGCAGUGGGGAAUAUUGGACAAUGGGGGGAACCCUGAUCCAGCCAUGCCGCGUGUGUGAAGAAGGCCCUCGGGUUGUAAAGCACUUUCAGUGAGGAAGAACGCCUGGUGGUUAAUACCCAUCAGGAAAGACAUCACUCACAGAAGAAGCACCGGCUAACUCCGUGCCAGCAGCCGCGGUAAUACGGAGGGUGCGAGCGUUAAUCGGAAUUACUGGGCGUAAAGCGCGCGUAGGUGGCUUGAUAAGCCGGUUGUGAAAGCCCCGGGCUCAACCUGGGAACGGCAUCCGGAACUGUCAAGCUAGAGUGCAGGAGAGGAAGGUAGAAUUCCCGGUGUAGCGGUGAAAUGCGUAGAGAUCGGGAGGAAUACCAGUGGCGAAGGUGGCCUUCUGGACUGACACUGACACUGAGGUGCGAAAGCGUGGGUAGCAAACAGGAUUAGAUACCCCAGUAGUC
rnacentral:rRNA from 1 species